rnacentral:tRNA from 1 species
UGAGAAUUAGUUAAACUAUAACGUCAGUCUGUCUAACUGAAAUUAUCGGUUAGUAUCCAGUAUUCUCAU